rnacentral:rRNA from 1 species
UACGUAGGGGGCAAGCGUUGUCCGGAAUCAUUGGGCGUAAAGAGCGUGUAGGCGGCCCGAUAAGUCCGCUGUGAAAGUCCAGGGCUCAACCCUGGGAUGCCGGUGGAUACUGCCGGACUAGAGUUCGGAAGAGGCGAGUGGAAUUCCCGGUGUAGCGGUGAAAUGCGCAGAUAUCGGGAGGAACACCAAUGGCGAAGGCAGCUCGCUGGGACGUUACUGACGCUGAGACGCGAAAGCGUGGGGAGCAAACAGG